GACGAACGCUGGCGGCGUGCUUAACACAUGCAAGUCGAGCGGUAAGGCCUUUCGGGGUACACGAGCGGCGAACGGGUGAGUAACACGUGGGUGAUCUGCCCUGCACUUCGGGAUAAGCCUGGGAAACUGGGUCUAAUACCGGAUAUGACCUCCUAUCGCAUGGUGGGUGGUGGAAAGAUUUAUCGGUGCAGGAUGGGCCCGCGGCCUAUCAGCUUGUUGGUGGGGUAAUGGCCUACCAAGGCGACGACGGGUAGCCGACCUGAGAGGAUGACCGGCCACACUGGGACUGAGACACGGCCCAGACUCCUACGGGAGGCAGCAGUGGGGAAUAUUGCACAAUGGGCGAAAGCCUGAUGCAGCGACGCCGCGUGAGGGAUGACGGCCUUCGGGUUGUAAACCUCUUUCAGCAGGGACGAAGCGCAAGUGACGGUACCUGCAGAAGAAGCACCGGCUAACUACGUG
rnacentral:rRNA from 1 species